AUUGAACGCUGGCGGCAGGCUUAACACAUGCAAGUCGAGCGGGGUGAUGUAGCUUGCUACAUUACCUAGCGGCGGACGGGUGAGUAAUGCUUAGGAAUCUGCCUAUUAGUGGGGGACAACAUUCCGAAAGGAAUGCUAAUACCGCAUACGCCCUACGGGGGAAAGCAGGGGAUCUUCGGACCUUGCGCUAAUAGAUGCGCCUAAGUCAGAUUAGCUAGUUGGUGGGGUAAAGGCCUACCAAGGAGACGAUCUGUAGCGGGUCUGAGAGGAUGAUCCGCCACACUGGGACGGAGACACGGCCCAGACUCCUACGGGAGGCAGCAGUGGGGAAUAUUGGACAAUGGGCGAAAGCCUGAUCCAGCCAUGCCGCGUGUGUGAAGAAGGCCUUUUGGUUGUAAAGCACUUUAAGCGAGGAGGAGGCUACUUGGAUUAAUACUCUAGGAUAGUGGACGUUACUCGCAGAAUAAGCACCGGCCAACUCUGUGCCAGCAGCCGCCGUAA
rnacentral:rRNA from 1 species